AGUUUGGUAUAAAGGUUGCAAUGGACUCGUGGUCUGAAGCACUCUUUUCGCCUGAACGUAACUGGACGCCUGAGGAAAUUCUGGACAAGUUGAAGAGCUAUAUAGAUUUUUUGUCUCUUUUUAAAAAUAGGUUUCUCGAUGGCUAAUAUAAGUGAGCCAAAGUGGAAAAGCUGAAUGGGUACAUGGAAUUUUUAUCUCUACUUAAAAAUUAAGUUUUCGAUGGCCAACAAGUGUACUAAGCUGCGGCAAAAUUAUCUCAAAUGGCAGGGAAACGACAUUGUAAGGUAAAGAAGUUCCAUAAAGUUAUCCACUGUUUAUAAUAACAAUUAAUCACAGGCAAAAUCAACUACAUCGUCAAAAAGAUAUAUUAAUAUUGAUCGAGGCUUGUAAUAUGCUGCUUUAAAAUAUAUUAUGCAGAUGAAAACUUACUCAAUUCUAAUUGGCUGAGAGCAAUGUAGUUUUUUGUUAAUGGGCCACUUGCUUUAUAGCGAUGCCCGCUGUGCAUGACGGUUGGAGUGGUCACUUUGCAAUCAAACGAGGUUGGUGAUUGUAGAGCGAGAGAUUUUGUUUUGAUGAUGAAAUCGGGGAUUUCUAACAACUUUUUGCAUCCAUCGAUGAUUUUAUCCGCACGAAAGUAACAAGAGCUAGAAACUACAUGUACAUGUAAUUUCAUGACGUUAUAUGUGAGAAGCUCUUAAUAGGUGGAUUGCAAACAAUCUUUUGAGAAUUUAAAGACAAUAAAACAGCAGCCAUCUUCUGCCUUGUGACAAAAAAAAUCCGAUCUUAAUUUAAAACGCGAAUUUGCUAUAAGCUAUGUAAAUAUCAGUGGUAAUGACCUAUUAUAAACUCGUUCCCAGCGUUUUUCAAAAAAUAACCGUAAUAAACGAGAAAGAGUUUUUACUGGCGUAUAAUAUAAAUGUGUUGAAAAACGUAGGCUAGCGCUUAGCCGAGUUUUUUCACAUACUGUACGUUGAGG